UAUUGCACUCGUCCCGGCCUAG
rnacentral:miRNA from 1 species